AGUGAACGCUGGCGGUAGGCCUAACACAUGCAAGUCGAACGGCAGCACAGUAAGCGCUUGCUCUUACGGGUGGCGAGUGGCGGCCGGGUGAGUCAUACAUCGGAAUCUACUUUUUCGUGGGGGAUAACGUAGGGAAACUUACGCUAAUACCUCAUACGACCUACGGGUGAAUGCAGGGGAUCUUCGCACCUUGCGCGAUUCAAUGAGCCGAUGUCGGAUUAGUUAGUUGCCGGGGUAAAGGCCCACCAAGGCGACGAUCCGUAGCUGGUCUGAGAGGAUGAUCAGCCACACUGGAACUGAGACACGGUCCAGACUCCUACGGGAGGCAGCAGUGGGGAAUAUUCGACAAUGGGCGCAAGCCUGAUGCAGCCAUACCGCGUGAGUGAAGAAGGCCUUCGGGUUGUAAAGCCCUUUUGUUGGGAAAGAAAAGCAGCAGGUUAAGACCCCGCUGUUCUGACGGUACCCAAAGAAUAAGCACCGGCUAACUUCGUG
rnacentral:rRNA from 1 species